rnacentral:rRNA from 1 species
CUACGGGCCGCUGCAGUGAGGAAUAUUGCACAAUGGGCGCAAGCCUGAUGCAGCAACGCCGCGUGAGGGACGAAGGCCCUCGGGUCGAAAACCUCUUUUCCGAGGGAAGAGACAAGGACGGUACCUCGGGAAUAAGUCUCGGCUAACUACGUGCCAGCAGCCGCGGUAAAACGUAGGAGGCGAGCGUUAUCCGGAUUUACUGGGCGUAAAGCGCGCGCAGGCGGUUUCGUGAGUCGGACGUGAAAGCUCCUGGCUUAACUGGGAGAGGCCGUUCGAUACUGCGGGACUUGAGGUUGGGAGAGGGGUGUGGAAUUCCCGGUGUAGUGGUGGAAUGCGUAGAUAUCGGGAGGAACACCAGUGGCGAAGGCGGCACCCUGGCCCAUACCUGACGCUGAGGUGCGAAAGCGUGGGGAGCAAACAGGAUUAGAUACCCUCGUAGUC